ensembl:lncRNA
GGGGGAGGGGGAGGAGGAGGAGGAUGUGGGGGGGAGGGGGAGGAGGAGGACUAGAGUGAAUGGCAAUUUGAACAAAAGCAAAAGCAGAAGUAAAACUUCAAAAUCCCAAAAACAUUUGACCUUUACAUAGUAACAUAAAAUAUUACUACAUAUUAAAUAUUGUAGUUAUAUAAAAUACUGCUAUAAUAUCAAAUAUGACUAUAAUAUGAAAUAUUACUAUAUUAUAAAAUAUUAUAGUAAGAUAAAAUAUGACUAUUAUAAAAUAUUAUAGUAUUAUAUAUAUGACUGUAUUAUUAAAUAUGAUCUAUUGUCUGGUCCAAAGAGAUGUUCAGCAGUCUGUUGGCCACAUCGGGCUGGUCCUGGUCCUCAUCCUGGUCCAGGUCCUGGACUUGUCCCUGGUCUGGUCUGGUCCUGGUCUGUUUCUGGUCCUGGUCUGGUCCUGGUCUGUUUCUGGUCCUGGUCCUGGUCUGUUUCUGGUCCUGGUCCUGGUCUGUUUCUGUUUCUGGUCCUGGUCCUGGUCUGUUUCUGGUUCUGUUUCUGUUUCUGGUUCUGGUCUGUUUCUGGUUCUGGUCUGUUUCUGUUUCUGGUCCUGGUCCUGGUCUGUUUCUGGUUCUGUUUCUGGUCCUGGUCUGUUUCUGGUUCUGGUCUGUUUCUGGUCUGGUCCUGGUCUGUUUCUGUUUCUGGUCCUGGUCCUGGUCUGUUUCUGGUCUGUUUCUGGUCCUGGUCUGUUUCUGGUCCUGGUCCUGGUCUGUUUCUGGUCCUGGUCUGUUUCUGGUCCUGGUCCUGUUCUGUUUCUGGUCCUGGUCCUGGUCUGUUUCUGGUCUGUUUCUGGUCUGUUUCUGGUCUGUUUCUGGUCCUGGUCCUGGUCCUGGUCCUGGUCUGUUUCUGGUCUGUUUCUGGUCAGUUUCUGGUCUGUUUCUGGUCUGUUUCUGGUACUGUUUCUGGUCUGGUUCUGUUUCUGGUCCUGGUCCUGGUCCUGGUCUGUUUCUGGUACUGUUUCUGGUCCUGGUUUAGGUUUCUGGUGGUCCUUCUCCCAGAACCCCUUGAGCCUGAUCCCAUCUUCCUCUACAUGGCGGGAAAGGAGGAGCAGGAGAAGAGGUGCAGAACCCAGCAGGCUGAGAGGCUGAGCACCCAGACAGCAGGAGGUGAGGGGGAGGAGGAGGAGGAGGGGGAGGAGCUUUCUGCUGUCUUCUCAGAUGAACGAAGCUCCUCCUCCUUACACCUAGACCUGCACAGGAACGUGGAAUUAGACUGAUGAGUGAGUGAAUUAUAGCUAUGAACGUGUUAAUGGGUAACCAUCUAUUAAUAAAAUGUAAU